UAGGGAAUCUUCGGCAAUGGACGAAAGUCUGACCGAGCAACGCCGCGUGAGUGAAGAAGGUUUUCGGAUCGUAAAACUCUGUUGGUAGAGAAGAACGUUGGCGAGAGUGGAAAGCUCAUCAAGUGACGGUAACUACCCAGAAAGGGACGGCUAACUACGUGCUAG
rnacentral:rRNA from 1 species